GAUUGAACGCUGGCGGCAGGCCUAACACAUGCAAGUCGAGCGGUAGCACAGAGAGCUUGCUCUCGGGUGACGAGCGGCGGACGGGUGAGUAAUGUCUGGGAAACUGCCUGAUGGAGGGGGAUAACUACUGGAAACGGUAGCUAAUACCGCAUAACGUCGCAAGACCAAAGUGGGGGACCUUCGGGCCUCAUGCCAUCAGAUGUGCCCAGAUGGGAUUAGCUAGUAGGUGGGGUAACGGCUCACCUAGGCGACGAUCCCUAGCUGGUCUGAGAGGAUGACCAGCCACACUGGAACUGAGACACGGUCCAGACUCCUACGGGAGGCAGCAGUGGGGAAUAUUGCACAAUGGGCGCAAGCCUGAUGCAGCCAUGCCGCGUGUGUGAAGAAGGCCUUCGGGUUGUAAAGCACUUUCAGCGGGGAGGAAGGCGGUGAGGUUAAUAACCUCACCGAUUGACGUUACCCGCAGAAGAAGCACCGGCUAACUCCGUGCCAGCAGCCGCGGUAAUACGGAGGGUGCAAGCGUUAAUCGGAAUUACUGGGCGUAAAGCGCACGCAGGCGGUCUGUCAAGUCGGAUGUGAAAUCCCCGGGCUCAACCUGGGAACUGCAUUCGAAACUGGCAGGCUAGAGUCUUGUAGAGGGGGGUAGAAUUCCAGGUGUAGCGGUGAAAUGCGUAGAGAUCUGGAGGAAUACCGGUGGCGAAGGCGGCCCCCUGGACAAAGACUGACGCUCAGGUGCGAAAGCGUGGGGAGCAAACAGGAUUAGAUACCCUGGUAGUCCACGCUGUAAACGAUGUCGAUUUGGAGGUUGUGCCCUUGAGGCGUGGCUUCCGGAGCUAACGCGUUAAAUCGACCGCCUGGGGAGUACGGCCGCAAGGUUAAAACUCAAAUGAAUUGACGGGGGCCCGCACAAGCGGUGGAGCAUGUGGUUUAAUUCGAUGCAACGCGAAGAACCUUACCUGGUCUUGACAUCCACAGAACUUAGCAGAGAUGCUUUGGUGCCUUCGGGAACUGUGAGACAGGUGCUGCAUGGCUGUCGUCAGCUCGUGUUGUGAAAUGUUGGGUUAAGUCCCGCAACGAGCGCAACCCUUAUCCUUUGUUGCCAGCGGUUAGGCCGGGAACUCAAAGGAGACUGCCAGUGAUAAACUGGAGGAAGGUGGGGAUGACGUCAAGUCAUCAUGGCCCUUACGACCAGGGCUACACACGUGCUACAAUGGCAUAUACAAAGAGAAGCGACCUCGCGAGAGCAAGCGGACCUCAUAAAGUAUGUCGUAGUCCGGAUUGGAGUCUGCAACUCGACUCCAUGAAGUCGGAAUCGCUAGUAAUCGUAGAUCAGAAUGCUACGGUGAAUACGUUCCCGGGCCUUGUACACACCGCCCGUCACACCAUGGGAGUGGGUUGCAAAAGAAGUAGGUAGCUUAACCUUCGGGAGGGCGCUUACCACUUUGUGAUUCAUGACUGGGGUGAAGUCGUAACAAGG
rnacentral:rRNA from 1 species